UGAGGGAAUAUUGGGUCAAUGGGGCGAGAGCCUGAACCAGCCAAGUAGCGUACAGGACGACGGCCCUAUGGGUUGUAAACUGCUUUUAUACGGGAAUAAAGUGAUGCCUGCGGGCGUUAUUGCAUGUACCGUACGAAUAAGGACCGGCUAAUUCCGUGCCAGCAGCCGCGGUAAUACGGAAGGUCCGGGCGUUAUCCGGAUUUAUUGGGUUUAAAGGGAGCGUAGGCCGGAGGGUAAGCGUGUUGUGAAAUGCAGUUGCUCAACAUCUGCACUGCAGCGCGAACUGUUCUCCUUGAGUGCGCAGGAAGUAGGCGGAAUUCGUCGUGUAGCGGUGAAAUGCUUAGAUAUGACGAAGAACUCCGAUUGGGGAAGCCAGCUUACUGU
rnacentral:rRNA from 1 species